rnacentral:rRNA from 1 species
UACGUAGGGGGCAAGCGUUGUCCGGAUUUAUUGGGCGUAAAGAGCGUGUAGGCGGCCAUACAGGUCAGCUGUGAAAACUCGAGGCUCAACCUCGAGACGUCGGUUGAAACCGUAUGGCUAGAGUCCGGAAGAGGAGAGUGGAAUUCCCGGUGUAGCGGUGAAAUGCGCAGAUAUCGGGAAGAACACCUAUGGCGAAGGCAGCUCUCUGGGACGGUACUGACGCUGGGACGCGAAAGCGUGGGGAGCGAACAGG